rnacentral:rRNA from 1 species
AACGUAGGUGGCAAGCGUUAUCCGGAAUUACUGGGCGUAAAGGGUGCGUAGGCGGCGCGGUAAGUCGGGUGUGAAAUCUCGGAGCUUAACUCCGAAACUGCAUUCGAUACUGCCGUGCUUGAGGACUGGAGAGGAGACUGGAAUUUACGGUGUAGCGGUGAAAUGCGUAGAUAUCGUAAGGAAGACCAGUGGCGAAGGCGGGUCUCUGGACAGUUCCUGACGCUGAGGCACGAAGGUCAGGGGAGCAAACGGG